ACUGCUCAGUAACACGUGGAUAACCUGCCCUGCGGUGGGAAAUAACCCCGGGAAACUGGGGAUAAUGUCCCAUAGACUACGGAUACUGGAAUGUUCUGUAGUUCAAAGAUUUAUCGCCACAGGAUGGGUCUGCGGCCGAUUAGGUAGUUGUUGGGGUAACGGCCCAACAAGCCUUUGAUCGGUACGGGUUGUGGGAGCAAGAGCCCGGAGAUGGAUUCUGAGACACGAAUCCAGGCCCUACGGGGCGCAGCAGGCGCGAAAACUUUACAAUGCGGGAAACCGUGAUAAGGGAACUCCGAGUGUCCGUAAAUGCGGACUGUCCGUCUGUUUAAAAAGCAGGCGAAGAAAGGGCCGGGCAAGACCGGUGCCAGCCGCCGCGGUAAUACCGGCGGCUCGAGUGGUGGCCACUAUUACUGGGCUUAAAGCGUUCGUAGCUGGGUUGUUAAGUCUCUUGGGAAAUCUAUCGGCUUAACCGAUAGGCGUCCAAGGGAUACUGGCAAUCUAGGGACCGGGAGAGGUGAGGGGUACUUCAGGGGUAGGAGUGAAAUCCUGUAAUCCUUGGGGGACCACCUGUGGCGUAGGCGCCUCACCAGAACGGCUCCGACAGUGAGGGACGAAAGCUGGGGGAGCAAACCGGAUUAGAUACCCGGGUAGUCCCAGCCGUAAACGAUGCGCGUUAGGUGUAUCGAUGACCACGAGUCAUCGAGGUGCCGAAGGGAAACCGUGAAACGCGCCGCCUGGGAAGUACGGUCGCAAGGCUGAAACUUAAAGGAAUUGGCGGGGGAGCAC
rnacentral:rRNA from 1 species